rnacentral:rRNA from 1 species
CACGUAGGGCGCAAGCGUUGUCCGGAAUUAUUGGGCGUAAAGAGCUCGUAGGCGGUCUGUUACGUCUGCUGUGAAAACCCGGGGGCUUUAACCCCUGGGCUUGCAGUGGAUACGGGGCAGACUAGAGGCAGGUAGGGGGAGAAUGGAAUUCCCGGUGUAGCGGUGAAAAUGCGCAGAUAUCGGGGAGGAACACCGGUGGCGAAGGCGGAUCUCUGGGGCCUGUUCUGACGCUGAGGCGCGAAAAGCUAGGGGGAGCGAAACAGG